GCCACAUUUCAUGCUCCACCAAAAUUGAAAGCGAGAGACAGAGAGAGGAGGAAGAACUAGAGAGGAAGACGCCUCUUUAACGUUUACAGGAAGUUCAUCCCUUUUAAAUGCUGAUGUGGCUACCAAAUCAUAGUGUCACUCACUACUAGUAAGGCUAGUUCUUGCAUCCAUUCUUCAAGUUUUACUAUCUUCCACUUGGAAAUGGUAAUAGCCAGGAUGUUCUACAAGGUUGGAUCUUCUUAUUUGUUGGCCACGGGGCCUCUUUUGUGUUGGCGAAAUGCCAUUUAUAUAAAAAGGGUUAUACCCUUCUUCUUGACUUUUAAUGAUGUAAGCCCAAGGGCAAUUUAUUUG